rnacentral:lncRNA from 1 species
ACUUUAUGUGGAUUUUGUAGAUAUUUCUUCUAUUCCAAGUAUUUUAUGUAAUCCAAAAUGGAAAUCUGAGAGAAGGUUGACUAUAAGCGUAUUUUUAUUAUAUUGGUAUUUCUUGUAUCCGAAUUUUAUUUUAUCUACUCUUUGGACGUGCUUCAUUAAAGCAAGGAACGACAAGAGUCAACUGUUUUUUAUUGGCUUUACUGAGUUCAAAUGUUUUUACUUCUUCAGGUAGCCGUUUAGGAAAGGUUUUAAAAUUUAAUGUAAAGGGUAGACAUUUUGAGGAGAAGGCAGGCAUUAAUGACUCUAUUGUCAGAAAUGAAGCGUUAACCAGAGGUUUCCUGUAUUAUGUAUGUAGAUUGUAGAUGAUACAAUAUAUUAUUAUUAUUAUAUGUCUUCUUUUUCUUUUCGAUUUCCGUUGAAAAAAAACAUUCAUAGAGCAAUCAAAACUUACUCAUUCUUGGAGGAACAAUUUAAAUUGAAUGAUGAAGGAAUUCCUGUUCAUGUACUUUUCUUUCUUUGAAGAGGAUAAUCACAUUUCAGAGUAUUAUGUAGUGUGCAAAUCAUUUUGUAUGUACAUAUGAAUAUUGUGUACACACUCUAUCUGUUUGGAGCUGCUCCCUGUUCUUCUCAAGCAAGGACAAACAUCUAGAUAAUACAUAUAUGCAUGUAUGCCACAUCAAACAAAAAGAAGGUUGUGUAGAAGACAGAAUGAAAGAGGGUGACGCUUUGAAAUAUUCAGAAUGGGUUUUCGAUAUUUUCAAACCACCACACGUUAUCAAAAAUGAUGUUAUUUGAUAAAUGAAGCUUUUAUGCUUUCGAAUAAGGUGCAUUUUGGUUUAUUCGACCUCUACACAUUAAAAACAAAUUAGGGCAGUGAGCCUUAAAACAUCAGUGAUUAACUCAAAGAGACGGAAAAAGUUAUAACAGAGGUAAUGAGAUGACAAAAAAAGUUGGAAUCUUUCGGAGGGGAUGAUUUGGAUGAGAUAAUUCCUGAAAUGGUGGAUAGGACCAAAAGUGAACCCCUCCAAUUUCUACGUAUGGAUCCUCCAGGAAGUUAUCUUAUCCUGGAUUAGUGGUCCAGGUACCAUAGGAGAAAGGAGCUAUUGGCCUCCCCACUUUUGCAGAAUUUUUAUUGUUAUCAAAAUA